rnacentral:tmRNA from 1 species
GGGGGCGUUAUGGUUUCGACGGGGAGUUGCAACGACAAGAGUAGCGAGCCGAGAUUCCGCCAACCUCGUAAAACGGUGGAACGCACAAUAAGUGCCAACAACAAUUACGCUUACGCUGCUUAAGAAAUAAAGCAGCCGUCCAAUCCGGACUUUUCCUGGGAGGCCGGUGCGGGCGUCAAAUAAACCAGGAUGCGUUCAAAUUCUGUUCUCGGAGGAUUUGAGCUAAGACUUUAACGGGAUAGCCCUGGAGGAACUCGCGUAGGAGAGCUUUCUUGGCGAAACUUAAACCCUACGCUACGCUCGUAGAAGCUCUUCGAGUUGGCUUUUCGGACGCGGGUUCGAUUCCCGCCGCCUCCACCA